AGUUCUCGGGCUUCGGCCCGACUCUCCCACCCUUUGUGAACGUACCUCUGUUGCUUUGGCGGCUCCGGCCGCCAAAGGACCUUCAAACUCCAGUCAGUAAACGCAGACGUCUGAUAAACAAGUUAAUAAACUAAAACUUUCAACAACGGAUCUCUUGGUUCUGGCAUCGAUGAAGAACGCAGCGAAAUGCGAUAAGUAAUGUGAAUUGCAGAAUUCAGUGAAUCAUCGAAUCUUUGAACGCACAUUGCGCCCCUUGGUAUUCCGGGGGGCAUGCCUGUUCGAGCGUCAUUACAACCCUCAAGCUCUGCUUGGAAUUGGGCACCGUCCUCACUGCGGACGCGCCUCAAAGACCUCGGCGGUGGCUGUUCAGCCCUCAAGCGUAGUAGAAUACACCUCGCUUUGGAGCGGUUGGCGUCGCCCGCCGGACGAACCUUCUGAACUUUUCUCAAGGUUGACCUCGGAUCAGGUAGGGAUACCCGCUGAACUUAAGCAUAUC
rnacentral:rRNA from 1 species